GGGCGCAUAGCUCAGCUGGUUAGAGCAGUUGCCUCUUAAGCAAUUGGUCGAAGGUUCGAAUCCUUCUGCGCCCA
rnacentral:tRNA from 1 species